rnacentral:rRNA from 1 species
UACGUAGGCAGCGAGCGUUGUUCGGAGUUACUGGGCGUAAAGGGUGUGUAGGCGGUUGUUUAAGUUUGGUGUGAAAUCUCCCGGCUCAACUGGGAGGGUGCGCCGAAUACUGAAUGACUUCGAGUGCGGGAGAGGAAAGUGGAAUUCCUGGUGUAGCGGUGAAAUGCGUAGAUAUCAGGAGGAACACCGGUGGUGUAGACGGCUUUCUGGACCGUAACUGACGCUGAGACACGAAAGCGUGGGGAGCGAACAGG